CAACCAACCCAUAACAGGGGGAUAACCCGGAGAAAUCCGGACUAAUACCGCAUAAGACCACGAUAUCGCAUGAUAUAGAGGUCAAAUAUUUAUAGGUUAUGGACGGGCAUGCGUCUGAUUAGCUGGUUGGCGGGUAACGCCCACCAAGGCAUCGAUCAGUAGGGGUUCUGAGAGGAAGGUCCCCCACAUUGGAACUGAGACACGGUCCAAACUCCUACGGGAGGCAGCAGUGAGGAAUAUUGGUCAAUGGGCGAAAGCCUGAACCAGCCAUGUCGCGUGAAAAGGAUGAAGGUCCUAUGGAUUGUAAACUUCUUUUGCAGGAGGGUAAAGUGAGCUACGUGUAGUUCAUUGCAAGUACCCUGCGAAUAAGCAUCGGCUAACUCCGUGCCAGCCGCCGC
rnacentral:rRNA from 1 species